AUUGAACGCUGGCGGCAUGCCUUACACAUGCAAGUCGAACGGUAACAGGUCUUCGGCCGCUGACGAGUGGCGCACGGGUGAGUAAUACAUCGGAACGUGCCCGAUCGUGGGGGAUAACGAGGCGAAAGCUUUGCUAAUACCGCAUACGAUCUACGGAUGAAAGCGGGGGAUCUUCGGACCUCGCGCGGACGGAGCGGCCGAUGGCAGAUUAGGUAGUUGGUGGGAUAAAAGCUUACCAAGCCGACGAUCUGUAGCUGGUCUGAGAGGAUGAUCAGCCACACUGGGACUGAGACACGGCCCAGACUCCUACGGGAGGCAGCAGUGGGGAAUUUUGGACAAUGGGCGAAAGCCUGAUCCAGCCAUGCCGCGUGCAGGAUGAAGGCCUUCGGGUUGUAAACUGCUUUUGUACGGAACGAAAAGCCUCUUUCUAAUAAAGAGGGGUCAUGACGGUACCGUAAGAAUAAGCACCGGCUAACUACGUG
rnacentral:rRNA from 1 species